rfam:Oryctolagus cuniculus cont2.8490, whole genome shotgun sequence.
GAGCUGUCUGUCUUUUCCAUCUGGGGGGCACACUGAGCUGAGAAGGUCAGAGUCAUGUUCUACGGGCAGUACACAAACGCCCGACUUUGGAGGUCAGUAUGCAUAGGGUGGCCAGCCAUUCUCACAAGCUUUCUGCACAUGUCAUGCUAGGGGACAAAGCAGCAGGUGUGCUGUCUGGAGGUCUCCUCCUGGAAUGGUGGUUGCCUAGCAACAAGAU